GGAUGUUGUAAUUGUAUCGGAAGGUGAUGAACAUGGGAUCAUUCCUGAGAAUCACAGUCAUUGUCUAGAGGUGCAUACCAGCUCAGAAAGAGUGGUUUCCAAUGGGAGGUAACCUUUGCCCUUCAGUAGUCUAAGGUUUCCAUUGCUGACUUAUUUUCUUCACCAAUCACUACUUUUCCUUUCCAUGUCUUCCAUGAACUGUCUUGAUUGCUAUUUGAUAUAACAUGUUAGAAUAUGCUGAACCUCACAUUUGA